rnacentral:rRNA from 1 species
GGUCAAGUAAUGAAGUGCACAUGGUGGAUGCCUUGGCAGUCAGAGGCGAUGAAAGACGUGAUAGCCUGCGAUAAGCGUCGGUGAGGUGGCAAUAUCCUGUGACCCGGCGAUUUCUGAAUGGGGAAACCCAACCAACCUAAGUUGGUUAUCUUAUCCUUUGGAUAAGAGGCAAACCGGGAGAAGUGAAACAUCUCAGUACCCCGAGGAAAAGACAUCAAUAGAGAUUCCCCAAGUAGCGGCGAGCGAACGGGGAGGAGCCGAUCAAACUUGUAGUAGCAAAAUGGCGUGGGAAAGCCAACCAUAGUAGGUGAUAGUCCUGUAUGCGAAACUGCAAAUGCGACAUAUUAAGUAGGGCGGGACACGAGAAAUCCUGUCUGAAGAUGGGGGGACCAUCCUCCAAGGCUAAAUACUCCUGACUGACCGAUAGUGAACCAGUACCGUGAGGGAAAGGCGAAAAGAACCCCUGUUAGGGGAGUGAAAUAGAACCUGAAACCGUGUGCAUACAAGCAGUCGGAGCGGACUUGUUCCGUGACGGCGUACCUUUUGUAUAAUGGGUCAGCGACUUAUAUUCUGUAGCAAGCUUAACCGUGUAGGGGAGGCGUAGGGAAACCGAGUCUUAAUAGGGCGACAUAGUUGCAGGGUAUAGACCCGAAACCGAGUGAUCUAUCCAUGAGCAGGUUGAAAGUGCCGUAACAGGCACCGGAGGACCGAACCCACUCCCGUUGAAAAGGUAGGGGAUGACUUGUGGAUAGGGGUGAAAGGCUAAUCAAACUCGGUGAUAGCUGGUUCUCCCCGAAAGCUAUUUAGGUAGCGCCUCGGACGAAUACCUUGGGGGGUAGAGCACUGUUUCGGCUAGGGGGUCAUCCCGACUUACCAAACCGAUGCAAACUCCGAAUACCCAAGAGUACUAUCCGGGAGACAGACGGCGGGUGCUAACGUCCGUCGUCAAGAGGGAAACAACCCAGACCGCCAGCUAAGGCCCCAAAUUCCUAGUUAAGUGGGAAACGAUGUGGGAAGGCACAGACAGCUAGGAGGUUGGCUUAGAAGCAGCCACCCUUUAAAGAAAGCGUAAUAGCUCACUAGUCGAGUCGGCCUGCGCGGAAGAUGUAACGGGGCUCAAACUAGGAGCCGAAGCUGCGGAUUUAAUUGUUUCAAUUAAGUGGUAGGGGAGCGUUGUGUAAGCCUGUGAAGGUGCAUCGUAAGGUGUGCUGGAGGUAUCACAAGAGCGAAUGCUGACGUGAGUAACGACAAAACGGGUGAAAAGCCCGUUCGCCGGAAGACCAAGGGUUCCAGUCCAACGUUAAUCGGGGCUGGGUGAGUCGACCCCUAAGGCGAGGCCGAAAGGCGUAGUCGAUGGGAAAUCGGUUAAUAUUCCGAUACUUGUUUAUGAUGCGAUGGAGGGACGGAGAAGGUUAUGUCAGCCUGGCGUUGGUUGUCCAGGUGGAAGGAUGUAGGUAGGCUUAGUAGGCAAAUCCGCUAGGCUAUUACUGAGAUCUGAUAGCAAGCUAGGUUUACUAGCGAAGUGGCAAAUACCAUGCUUCCAGGAAAAGCUUCUAAGCGAUAGUCAUAAAGAAAUCGUACCCGAAACCGACACAGGUGGUCAGGUAGAGAAUACCAAGGCGCUUGAGAGAACUCUGCUGAAGGAACUAGGCAAAAUGGUACCGUAACUUCGGGAGAAGGUACGCUGCCGAUGGUGAUAAGACUUGCUCUUUGAGCUGUUGGCAGUCGCAGAUACCAGGCUGCUGCAACUGUUUAUUAAAAACACAGCACUCUGCAAACACGAAAGUGGACGUAUAGGGUGUGAUGCCUGCCCGGUGCUGGAAGGUUAAUUGAUGGGGUUAGCGUAAGCGAAGCUCUUGAUCGAAGCCCCAGUAAACGGCGGCCGUAACUAUAACGGUCCUAAGGUAGCGAAAUUCCUUGUCGGGUAAGUUCCGACCUGCACGAAUGGCAUAAUGAUGGCAGCGCUGUCUCCAGCAGAGACUCAGUGAAAUCGAAAUCGCAGUGAAGAUGCUGUGUACCCGCGGCUAGACGGAAAGACCCCGUGAACCUUUACUACAGCUUUACAUUGAACUUUGACCUAACUUGUGUAGGAUAGGUGGGAGGCUUUGAAGUAGGGACGCCAGUUCCUAUGGAGCCAUCCUUGAAAUACCACCCUGGUUAUGUUGGGGUUCUAACUUAGAUAUAACAGUAUCAAGGACAAUGUAUGGUGGGUAGUUUGACUGGGGCGGUCUCCUCCUAAAGAGUAACGGAGGAGUACGAAGGUGCGCUCAGGACGGUCGGAAAUCGUCCAAAGAGUAUAAAGGCAAAAGCGCGCUUAACUGCGAGACCCACAAGUCGAGCAGGUACGAAAGUAGGUCUUAGUGAUCCGGUGGUUCUGUAUGGAAGGGCCAUCGCUCAACGGAUAAAAGGUACUCUGGGGAUAACAGGCUGAUACCGCCCAAGAGUUCAUAUCGACGGCGGUGUUUGGCACCUCGAUGUCGGCUCAUCUCAUCCUGGGGCUGAAGCAGGUCCCAAGGGUAUGGCUGUUCGCCAUUUAAAGAGGUACGCGAGCUGGGUUUAGAACGUCGUGAGACAGUUCGGUCCCUAUCUACCGUGGGCGUUGGAAAUUUGAGAGGAUCUGCUCCUAGUACGAGAGGACCAGAGUGGACGAACCUCUGGUGUUCCGGUUGUGACGCCAGUCGCAUUGCCGGGUAGCUAUGUUCGGAUGGGAUAACCGCUGAAAGCAUCUAAGCGGGAAGCCCACCUCAAGAUUAGAUUUCCCUAAAGAGCCGUUGUAGACUACGACGUUGAUAGGUUGGGUGUGGAAGCAUGGUGACAUGUGUAGCUAACCAAUACUAAUUGCUCGUUUGGCUUGACCAU